rnacentral:rRNA from 1 species
GAUGAACGCUGGCGGCAGGCUUAACACAUGCAAGUCGAGCGGGGUGAUGGUGCUUGCACUAUCACUUAGCGGCGGACGGGUGAGUAAUGCUUAGGAAUCUGCCUAUUAGUGGGGGACAACAUCUCGAAAGGGAUGCUAAUACCGCAUACGUCCUACGGGAGAAAGCAGGGGAUCACUUGUGACCUUGCGCUAAUAGAUGAGCCUAAGUCGGAUUAGCUAGUUGGUGGGGUAAAGGCCUACCAAGGCGACGAUCUGUAGCGGGUCUGAGAGGAUGAUCCGCCACACUGGGACUGAGACACGGCCCAGACUCCUACGGGAGGCAGCAGUGGGGAAUAUUGGACAAUGGGGGGAACCCUGAUCCUGCCAUGCCGCGUGUGUGAAGAAGGCCUUAUGGUUGUAAAGCACUUUAAGCGAGGAGGAGGCUCUUUUGGUUAAUACCCAAGAUGAGUGGACGUUACUCGCAGAAUAAGCACCGGCUAACUCUGUGCCAGCAGCCGCCGUAA